rnacentral:lncRNA from 1 species
GCACUUGAAAUCGGAUAUCAUCUUUGAAUACCGGAGGAAAUCGAAAGAAGAAAAGAAAGAAUCAACCACUCCCUCUCGGUUUAGACCCAGAGUGAAAUUCCAUGUCAAAUGGACCAUGAUCUGCUCUUUUCUCAGCUCGGGGAAAAGAAGAAAGAAUGGCACUGAAGUGGACAUUCGAGAGAGAUGGACAAUAGAUACAAAUGCAAGUCAGGGAAAGAGCAGAGAGAAUGGCGGUGAAGUUAUGGCAGUUACCUAAGGCGGGGCAUCCACGGGGUAUUACCUAUGAAUCAUGAUACAACCAUUCACAUUUGUGUGUCGUCCUUGCUGAGGCAUCGCUUACGAUACAUGAGGCUAUAUAUGUUCAGAAAUGAAAUUAGCCACAAAAUAGUUGCUACAGAUUGUAGUUACCUGAUAAUCGACCCGGUAAAGACCGCGAAGAUCUGAGCCGGGCACCGCCUGACAAUCGACCCGGUAAAGACCGCGAAGAUUUGAGCCGGGCACCGGUCCAGCGAGGAUAUGGUCUAUCGCUGUGCUGGUGCGAGGACGAACCAGCUAAAGCGCAAAUGUCCUCCAUUUCAAACUAUUAAGAUUCUG